AAGUUGAAAGAGACAGCGGAGUAAGGAAAAUAAUGCAGCGAACCAUCUAAUGAACGAGUGAAAGGGAAGGGAAGAAACGAGUUGAAGAUAAAGUACACUAGAAAUCGGGAAAGAGAGAAACAAAGGAUCAAUAGGUUUGAGGACCAGUUGUAGAUCGAUUGCCGGAGAUGGAGGAACCAUUGAUUAACGGCAGCAGCGGCGGCGGAUCCAUCGAAACCUGCGAACUUCUUCAUCCUGCACCAUCCACGGUAGUGGAAUUGGGGAACGGUGAUUACCUUCCGGUGAAGAGCUUUGGCGAUGUGAAAUCUAUGUUUUGGAAAGAGACGGUGAAACUGUGGGUCAUCGCUGGGCCUAUCAUUUUCAACACUCUUUGCCUCUAUGGGCUUAACUCUUCCACGCAGAUCUUCGUAGGUCACCUUGGUAAUAUCGAGCUUUCCGCCGUCGCCAUUGCCUUGUCUGUCAUCUCUGUCUUCUCCUUCGGCUUCCUGCUUGGUAUGGCGAGCGCACUAGAGACUCUAUGUGGUCAGGCAUUUGGUGCAGGGCAGAUGUACAUGCUUGGCAUUUACAUGCAACGCUCCUGGAUAAUCCUUACAGUCUCCUGUGUUCUCCUUCUCCCAGUUUACAUUUUUGCCACCCCUAUCCUAGAGCUCCUCGGCCAGGAUCAUGAUAUAGCUGUUCUCGCCAGCAAAUUUGCUAUCCAAAUCAUUCCUCAGUUGUUCGCACUGGCCAUCAAUUUCCCUAUCCAAAAGUUCCUUCAGGCCCAAAGCAAGGUUGGGGUGAUCGCUUGGAUUGGCUUCGUCACCCUUCUCCUUCACGUAUUCUUUCUCUGGCUCUUCAUCUAUGUCCUUGGUCUGUCUACAUUUGGUGCAGCCUUGGCUUACGACAUUUCGGGCUGGGUGAUUCCUAUAGCUCAGUUGGUUUAUGUGGUGGGGUGGUGCAAGGAUGGAUGGAAGGGCCUAUCUUGGUUGGCCUUCCAUGAGAUUUGGGCCUUUGUUAGGCUCUCCGUGGCCUCGGCCGUCAUGCUUUGCCUUGAGGUAUGGUACAUGAUGACUCUGAUUGUCCUCACCGGCCACCUUGCUGAUGCAGUCAUAGCGGUUGCCUCCAUCUCUGUCUGCAUGAAUCUCAAUGGCUGGGAAGCAAUGCUUUUUAUUGGAAUCAAUGCUGCUAUAAGUGUUCGAGUCUCAAAUGAACUUGGAUCAGGACACCCUAGAGCUGCCAAAUAUUGUGUUUUUGUUGUAGUUGCUCAAUCACUUCUCAUUGGGCUAUUCUUCAUGGUUCUAAUCUUGGUUACCAAAGACUAUUUUGCUAUCAUUUUCACUAGCAGUAAAGAGCUACAGCAAGCCGUCGCUCGCCUUGCCUUCCUCCUUGGGGUAACUAUGGUACUUAACAGUAUCCAGCCGGUCAUCUCAGGUGUUGCUAUUGGAGGUGGGUGGCAAGCAUUGGUUGCUUAUAUUAACCUGGGUUGUUAUUAUAUAUUCGGGCUUCCUCUUGGGUUCCUUAUGGGUUACAAAUUGAAUAUGGGAGUGGAGGGAAUUUGGUCUGGCAUGCUUUGUGGAACUGCACUGCAAACAUUGAUCCUACUGUUCAUCGUUUGGAAAACCAACUGGAAGCAUGAGGCUGAUCAGGCAUUAGAACGCGUGCAAAAAUGGGGUGGGAAAGACAAUGAAGAUGAAAAAGUUGUGGUGGAUUCUUGUUAGAGAAGGGUUGUUCGUGAGAGUUGUUCUCUUCCCUGUGGUUGUUGGAUUGAUCAAGUAUCAUAGUCUCGAGGAGAAUUUGCAUUUGUGGAUUAACAGAUAACCCUACACUCUACUAUUAAUUGAACUGAAUAUCCUAAGUUACAUGAAGAGGGGUUGUUGCUUGGAGCAAUGGCAAAUGGCUCUUUCCGCUUGCGCAGUGGUGCGGGUUCGAGUCCUGGGAACUAGGCUCUCCAUAAAGGGGAAGGUUUAUAUCUCGCAACACACCAAGAAGAGUAACUUGGUCAACAUGGGCCAGUCAAAGGUUUCCAAUCCUCUGGUUUCAUUGAGAUGCACCGAGGAGGGCAAACUUGCAUGUGCUCUUCUAGAGGAGUCCAUAGUAGUUAAUCAAUCCGGAGAAAUGUCUUAAACUUUCUUGGAUUAAUUAGGUAUUUGGUGCCCUCCUCAAAUUAAAAAAAUUUCCUUGUAUUUUUAAUAAUCCAACUAUUUUUAUAACUGUUAGACUUCUCCUAAACUUCACAUUUUCUUCUUCACACUCUGCAUUUGAGAUGAAUAUUACCUGUUAAGUUUGUCUUGAAUUCUUAACUCAUUUUGAAGAAUGAUCUGCUCA